rnacentral:rRNA from 1 species
UACGUAGGGUGCGAGCGUUAAUCGGAAUUACUGGGCGUAAAGCGUGCGCAGGCGGUUCGUUAAGUCAGAUGUGAAAGCCCCGGGCUCAACCUGGGAACUGCAUUUGAAACUGGCGGGCUUGAGUGUGGCAGAGGGGGGUGGAAUUCCACGUGUAGCAGUGAAAUGCGUAGAGAUGUGGAGGAACACCGAUGGCGAAGGCAGCCCCCUGGGUCAACACUGACGCUCAGGCACGAAAGCGUGGGGAGCAAACAGG